CGGGAAGCGGGGCCGGCGGAGCGGCCGGGGCACGGCCCCGCUGAAAGGGGGCUCGGGGGCGGCCUCCUUGCCCCACCGCGCCUGGCAGGCGGCUGCAGCCCGGCGGGACUCGGCCGCCUCUUCUCCUGCCGCUGUCCGCCUGCGAGAGGGCAUGGCCUCGAGCCGCGCCACAGGAGGUUCAGGCUGGCCAGCAAGCGGAGUUUCUACACAGACAGGGUGGUUCCACACUGGAAUGCGCUGCCCGGGGAGGCGGUGCAGUCACCGUCCCUGGAGGUGGCCCUCGGUGCCGCGGGCUGACUGACCCGGUGCGCGGUCAUAGCCUGGGCUCGGUGGUCCCAGAGGGCUUUCCCAACCUGACUGAUUCUGUGAUUCUGUUAAGUAUUUCUGAUUUGUGGAGUGUACGUGAGUUACAGCAUCUCCACCCAUGGCUUUCCACCCCGGGUUCAUGGCCGCAUUGGGGUCCGGGGAGGUGCCGGGCGCUGGGAAGCACGCAGGUGCCAGAGGCCAAGCCUCAGCUAGGCUGUGAUUUCUCUCUUUGUCAGCUAUUUUCCCUAUUUUUUCCUGCAGACACUUCCCGGCAGUGCUGGGGCUUCCCUGUGCACUGUGGUUACACCAGUCAUGGUAGAAGCCACAGUGACCCUGCCUGCCAUAAAUACCCCCCAUCUCCCUGCAGCUCAGCUCUGCUAUGGUGUCACAUGCAACACCUGCAAGUCAAACACAACCUAGGUAAUCUCUGGAUAGGACUGGGCCAACUUUUGUACAGCUGUCCUUUGAAAGGAUAAUUGCAGGCAUGACUUUCAGGGUAAUAAGCAGAGAUAACUUUUUAUCUGCCAGCAAUAACGUGAAUUCCAGUAACCUGUCUCACUGCAGUGGAACCAGGGGAAAACACUCCCUCCUUCACUGCAUUUUAUGGAAGGAAGGGAACAGGCAAGACUGAGCACUGGUGGAGUCAGUCAGUGUCACUGAGGAGGUAGGUUCUCAGUCAGGUCACUGAGAACCAAUCUGUCCAAAACCAGCAAAGUCUGGUGAAGCUCUUGAGCUGGAUUAAACUCAGGAGGGGUGUAUCUCACAGCACACAGGCAAGCUGCUUGUGCAACAGCAGCCAUGGAUGCUUGUGGAGCAGUGUCCUGGCAGCCCGUCCACCUGCACCAACAUCUCAGGUUAAGAGGACACAGGAAUGCCAAAGAGAGGUCUAAAUGCCCCAAAUGGCAAAGAACCUUUUGCUCCCCCAGUGCCUGAUGUCACCAUCUCAGCCAGGGGUUCAGCAUCUUCCAGGAACCCGACGCUGCGUCACAAAGGAACAGCGGGACAGAGGCACCGAACCCAAAGCACUGCCUGGAUUUAUGUCUCAGAAAUAAACUGCCUCGUAAAUAUGCCUCGUAAAUAAAA
rnacentral:lncRNA from 1 species